CCUACGGGUGGCAGCAGUGAGGAAUAUUGGUCAAUGGGCGCGAGCCUGAACCAGCCAAGUAGCGUGCAGGAUGACUGCCCUACGGGUUGUAAACUUCUUUUAUAAAGGAAUAAAGUGAGGCACGUGAGCCUUUUUGUAUGUACUUUAUGAAUAAGGAUAGCGUAACUCCGUGCCAGCAGCCGCGGUAAUACGGAGGAUCCGAGCGUGAUCUGGAUUUAUUGGGUUUAAAGGGAGCGUAGAUGGGUGUUUAAGUCAGUUGUGAAAGUUUGCGGCUCAACCGUAAAAUUGCAAUUGAUACUGGCAGCCUUGAGUACAGUUGAGGUAGGCGGAAUUCGUGGUGUAGCGGUGAAAUGCUUAGAGAUCACGAAGAACUCCGAUUGCGAAGGCAGCUUACUAAACUGCCACUGACAUUGAUGCUCGAAAGUGUGGGUAUCAAACAGGAUUAGAUACCCUGGUAGUC
rnacentral:rRNA from 1 species